rnacentral:lncRNA from 1 species
ACAAAAGUCUCAUCCAUAGUCAUAAUAAGAUACAUCUCAUCAUCCAAUACUAAUAAGAGACAAUAUCUUAUACAUAGUCAUAAUAAAAGUCUCAAGUAUCAGAACACAAAACAUGGAAGCUCACGGUCGCCGAUCACCAUCGGGUUACAGUGACGAGUGAUGGUCGAUACCUCCACUAGCGAAGAGGGUUUCGACAAAGCCUAACCCGUCUUCUCGUUCAUGCGUCGGCAAGGUAGUUGGAGGGGUCUAAUAUACAUGUACAAAUGAUAUUUGUUGAGUUACAUCAUAAUAUAACUAACAACAAGUAAAUGAUGAUGAAUUUGCAUACCUGAUGUUCGGUAGAUGGAGAUGUAGGUGUAGGUGGAGGUGAAGACCAAGGAUAAUGAACGGGUGGUGGGGGGCACCGGGACGUGUAUCCCUUGGGCCUGUGCUAGUUGCUACAAAUUUGUCAAACUCAUUCACACACUAGGAGAUGGAUAUUUUGAAUGAAAAAAUAUAUGCAAACGUUAUCACUGAAAGUUUGCGUAUACCUGUUUUUAUAAGGAAGAUGAUAUUCCAAAA